UGAUCCUUAGAAGAAAUUUUGAAAAAGGGCAAGUGCAAUAAAAAAAUGUGUAGAAACACCCGCUUCUAUCGAAAAAAAAAAGAGAAAAGAAAUGAAAAAUAGAAAUGAAGUAUAAGCACUUGCCUAAGUCAAAGACUCAUACAUUAAUGUGAUACUCAAAAGAACAAAAAUUUGAGCGAAAAAGAGUCAAGUUGGACAACACCCCAUAAAACAACUUGUGCACAAAGAAAAACAACAACAUGAAUGCCGAGUUCUAAACCUUUG
rnacentral:lncRNA from 1 species